rnacentral:rRNA from 1 species
CCUACGGGGGGCUGCAGUGGGGAAUAUUGGACAAUGGGGGGAACCCUGAUCCAGCCAUGCCGCGUGUGUGAAGAAGGCCCUCGGGUUGUAAAGCACUUUCAGUGAGGAAGAACGCCUGGUGGUUAAUACCCAUCAGGAAAGACAUCACUCACAGAAGAAGCACCGGCUAACUCCGUGCCAGCAGCCGCGGUAAUACGGAGGGUGCGAGCGUUAAUCGGAAUUACUGGGCGUAAAGCGCGCGUAGGUGGCUUGAUAAGCCGGUUGUGAAAGCCCCGGGCUCAACCUGGGAACGGCAUCCGGAACUGUCAAGCUAGAGUGCAGGAGAGGAAGGUAGAAUUCCCGGUGUAGCGGUGAAAUGCGUAGAGAUCGGGAGGAAUACCAGUGGCGAAGGCGGCCUUCUGGACUGACACUGACUCUGAGGUGCGAAAGCGUGGGUAGCAAACAGGAUUAGAUACCCGAGUAGUC